UACGAAGGGUGCAAGCGUUACUCGGAAUUACUGGGCGUAAAGGGUGCGUAGGUGGUUUGUUAAGUCUGCUGUGAAAUCCCCGGGCUCAACCUGGGAAUGGCAGUGGAUACUGGCAAGCUAGAGGGCGGUAGAGGGUAGUGGAAUUCCCGGUGUAGCAGUGAAAUGCGUAGAGAUCGGGAGGAACACCAGUGGCGAAGGCGGCUACCUGGACCAGCACUGACACUGAAGCACGAAAGCGUGGGGAGCAAACAGG
rnacentral:rRNA from 1 species